rnacentral:rRNA from 1 species
GAUUCUUAAAUGAAUUGACGGGGGCCCGCACAAGCAGUGGAGUAUGUGGUUUAAUUCGAAGCAACGCGAAGAACCUUACCAGGUCUUGACAUCCAACGACCGCCUAAGAGAUUAGGCUUUCCUUCGGGACGUUGAGACAGGUGGUGCAUGGUUGUCGUCAGCUCGUGUCGUGAGAUGUUGGGUUAAGUCCCGCAACGAGCGCAACCCUUAUUACUAGUUACUACGCAAGAGGACUCUAGUGAGACUGCCGUUGACAAAACGGAGGAAGGUGGGGAUGACGUCAAAUCAUCAUGCCCUUUAUGACCUGGGCUACACACGUACUACAAUGGCUAUUAACAGAGAGAAGCGAGACCGCAAGGUGGAGCAAACCUCAGAAAAAUAGUCUCA